rnacentral:rRNA from 1 species
UACAGAGGGGGCAAGCGUUGUUCGGAAUUACUGGGCGUAAAGGGCGCGUAGGCGGCCUGUUAAGUCGGACGUGAAAUCCCUCGGCUCAACCGGGGAACUGCGUCCGAUACUGGCGGGCUUGAAUUCGGGAGAGGGAUGUGGAAUUCCAGGUGUAGCGGUGAAAUGCGUAGAUAUCAGGAAGAACACCCGUGGCUAAGGCGGCUCUCUAGUACGGUACUGACGCUGAGACGCGAAAGCGUGGGGAGCGAACAGG